UAAGUCACUUUUCUAUCACUUGCCAUAAAUAAACCCCCCAACAUUGAAUUCUUGUUACUUUCAUUUAUUACACAACGAACCAUGAAGUUGCUUAUUUUGUCUCUCAUUGCAAUUUCGCUCCAUUUGGGAGUUACGCUCAGGUGUUACCGCUGCAUGAACGGUUACGCAACUUCCACAGUGUGCAGUAACCAACUUCCAUCCGGUAAUGUAAUCGAAUGUUCGGGAACAAACCCGCAAUGUUACGAAUCGAUUCAAUGGUUUAACAAUGGCUCAUUGCAAGUGGCAAUAAGGGAUUGUUGGACACCCCCCAAUAACAGAACAAGGGGCGGUUUUUGCGAGAAUUAUAACAGCACAGAGGGGGUUUUGAGAUAUUGCAGGAAUUGCACUAGCGAUGUUUGCAACACUGAUGUUCUCUAUUAUCCCGCGAAACUACUGAACUGUUAUGUGUAGUGUGAAAUUGGCCGUUUCACACGACUCAUUCUGUAUGAAAACAUAAAUAAAUAAAUUCAUUUGUUGGAGAGGAAAAAAAUCUCUGCGGGUUCUAA